UGCCAUUGGCACUCCAACCUGGGCAACAAGAGCAAAACUCCGUCUCAAAAAAAAAAAAAAAAAAAAGGGGCGGAGGUCAGCAUGGCAGCUGCGUUGGCUCGGCUUGGUCUGCGGCCUGUCAAAGAGGUUCGGGUUCAAUUCUGUCGCUUCGAGAAAAACGUGGAACCGACGAGGACCUUCCUCCAGGCGGUGAGCAGUGAGAAGGUCCGCUCCACUAAUCUCAACUGCUCAGUGAUUGCGGACGUGAGGCAUGACGGCUCCGAGCCCUGCGUGGACGUGCUGUUCGGAGACGGGCAUCGCCUGAUUAUGCGCGGCGCUCAUCUCACCGCUCUGGAAAUGCUCACCGCCUUCGCCUCCCACAUCCGGGCCAGGGAUGCGGCGGGCAGCGGGGACAAGCCGGGCGCUGAUACUGGUCGCUGACAGCGCCAAAGAGACCAACAAGACGAUUUUAGCGUGGACUAGGACACUUAACCUAAGAAGAGUUUCACUUAAUCAUUCAACUCACUAUCUGGAGGGCCACGGAGCGCAAAAUAAAGUUUAAAACCCUACUAAAAAAAAAAAAAA